CCUACGGGGUGCUGCAGUGGGGAAUAUUGGACAAUGGGCGAAAGCCUGAUCCAGCCAUGCCGCGUGUGUGAAGAAGGCCUUCGGGUUGUAAAGCACUUUCAGUGGGGAAGAAAGCCUGGGGGCUAAUACCCUCGAGGAAGGACAUCACCCACAGAAGAAGCACCGGCUAACUCCGUGCCAGCAGCCGCGGUAAUACGGAGGGUGCGAGCGUUAAUCGGAAUUACUGGGCGUAAAGCGCGCGUAGGCGGUCUGAUAAGCCGGUUGUGAAAGCCCCGGGCUCAACCUGGGAACGGCAUCCGGAACUGUCAGGCUAGAGUGCAGGAGAGGAAGGUAGAAUUCCCGGUGUAGCGGUGAAAUGCGUAGAGAUCGGGAGGAAUACCAGUGGCGAAGGCGGCCUUCUGGACUGACACUGACGCUGAGGUGCGAAAGCGUGGGUAGCAAACAGGAUUAGAUACCCUAGUAGUC
rnacentral:rRNA from 1 species